GGAGAUGGAUGAGGCUGGGCUCACUUGCAUGCACUGUGCCCCAGCUCCGAUCUGCUGCUUAGGGCAGAAGUGACCUUUCCCAGGCAGUGGGAGGGAGCUUCCCCCCACCCUGCUAUGCUGCUGCUUGGAAUUCAUCUUACAUAGCAGCCUCAUUUUUUUUUUUUUAUCCCCCCCUCCAAAGAACAGCUUGCUGCUACAGUGAUUGUUUUUUAUUAUUUUUAUUUAAUUAUUAUUUUCAGCCCAUGUUGCAGCUUCCUUAUGAUCGUUUUGUGUGUGUGUGUGUGUGUGUAUGCUUUGAACUGCAUUUUAAAUUUGCCCAGCUGGAGACAAGUCUCGAUUAGAGCUGGAACAAUAGCUCCAUUUUAUUAAUAAUGGGAAGGAUUUACGAUUCUACAGCACCUUCCUUGGAAGGCUUUCAAAACCAUUUGCAAACUCUCACAAAUGUAAGCUUUCACAGCCCUGCCUGUGAGGUGGGUAAGUAUUUCCACGGUGCCACCAAAAAUCAGGGAGAGCUGCAGUCGGUGUGUGCUCCAAUAACGGCAGAUCCGGUGGGUUUCAGGGCUGCAAAGCCGGGAGGAGGGAGGCUGGUAAAAGCUGUAACCUCAAUCUGUUUGGUGCUGUCUGUAGAUGCAGAUAUUUGUCUUUGUCUUGGGAACCAGGCUGCUAUUUCUCAGCCUGCUCUGUGCUCCUCCUUGCUUUUUGCAGAUUGAGGAUUCGGACUUGCCUGCUUGUCAGUAAACAUCUGCUUAUAGAUUAUUAUUAUUAUUAUUUUUUAAUUCAUUGCUUUUUUGUAGUCCCCAGGUGACCUCCUUUAGUGCUGGCUCCGCUGCGGUCUGACCACAGCUUUGCAUUAAGGCAGGCUGCGAGCACUAAUGUGUCUCCAUGCGAGUCCACGUGACAUUGCCCAGGGGACAGGGCCCACUGAGCUAAUGCAGAUGCUCCACUUCAAUUACACAACCCUGCAUCCCCUCCCUGACCCGAGUAGUGCAGGGGAAUGUUGCAAUGUUGUGGGUGAAAGCUGCCUUCUGCCCUAAUUUUUGUAUAUAUAUUUUUUUCCUCCCAGGGAAAUGCAGGAUUGUUUGUGUAACUCCCACUCUACAGCAGAUAGCUUCUCUGUCACCAUGACUUCAAUGUGCACAGUCCAAGCAGUCACUUGUGAGCAAGGAGAGCAGGUAUUGGCACCUCCUCAUUAGCCUUCAUCAAUGAGAAUAUUGGCUAUGGUGUUGCGUGAGUGCCACUGGCUGACCAAUGGAGGGGCCCUACCCUGCUAAGCUGGAGCAACACUUUCUGAGUGGUGAUUUCAUUGCCUGGUUGCUGCAGUGAUUUGGAGCACAGCUGUGACGUUAUGCUUUUUCUGGCAAAAAUUUAGCUGAGGGGCCACUGUACCCUGUGGGAAUUGUACUACUUUUCUGUGGCAGUUUGGGAUAACUGAGGGCUUCCUUGGGAGUGUUGGACUUCUACCGCCACACGCUUUGGAUUGAAGAGUUACCAGAACGACAUCUGUGAGGUUUCCAAGCUAAACAAAACCUGAAUUUCUGGUGCAAAAAGCAAGUGAGUGAUAGAAACCUCUGCUCCUCUUCCAGCGGGGGGACACUGCAGCCUUUUAAGCUUUCCUAUUAUGCCAAAGAGGUAAAAAAGCAUAAGCAUGCAUUGUGUUAUGCAGUGCUAUUGGUGAUAUAAAAUGAAAGCCAAAGCUAGCCAAGAAACUGUUCUCCUUUCAAAUACAUCUCCACGCACAAGUACUUUUCUUCUUUGCCUUUCCCUGAAGUGAGAGAGCAAUAAGGGCACAAGCGUGCGCUCAGUCUGCUUCAUUUAGAACACAGUGAAGUGACUUCGGUGCCAACAUGAUGAAUCAAAAGCAUUGAAGAUAGCUGGCUUGCUAUUUAUUUUGCUCUGGGCAUGACAAUCAGAUGUGAUUGGGGAUGUGAAGAAGAGCAGCCUUCAACUCACAGAGUUGCACUGUUUUAAACCCUUGUCCUGUGACUUCUCCAGCGUGAUUUCUGUCAUUCCUGCUGGGCAUUGCACGUGGGCCUUUUCAUGGAGAGGUAACGCCCUGCAGCUGUGUGUUAAACAUGGCAACAUACAGGAUACAGUGAUCUCUCCACUCCCAGGAGCCUGGAAGACUGAAGCCCUCUGCCUAGAGGAUGAAAUGCUUCAUGUUUGGAAAAAAAACUAGCAGUGGCAUUAUUUUGCAGCAGCUCUCAUCCCCUGCGUUGUGUGGAUGAGAACAGCAUGGAGUCUGGCUGGGAGCAGUGCUUGAAAAGGAGUCAGAGAAUCCUGGUACAGCUGAUGCAGUGACUCAAAGGGACAGAGUUAACACAUCGUGAAGACUUGGAG